rnacentral:rRNA from 1 species
GAUGAACGCUGACAGAAUGCUUAACACAUGCAAGUCUUUGGCGAAGCUGUGCUUGCACAGCCUAGCCAAGGCGGACGGGUGAGUAACGCGUAAGGAACUUGCCCUGCAGUCAGGGAUAACAGACGGAAACGACUGAUAAGACCUGGUAAAGUCAGGCGGACUCAUGUCCAGCCUGAUGAAAAGAGAUGCUGCAGGAGAGCCUUGCGUCCUAUUAGCUUGUUGGUGGGGUAACGGCCCACCAAGGCGAUGAUAGGUAGCCGGCCUGAGAGGGUGGACGGCCACAAGGGGAGUGAGAGACGGCCCUUACUCGUACGGGAGGAAGCAGUGAGGAAUAUUGGACAAUGGGGGCAACCCUGAUCCAGCAAUUCUGUGUGAACGAUGAAGGUUUUCGGAUUGUAAAGUGCUUUCAGCAGGGAAGAAAAAAAUGACGGUACCUGCAGAAGAAGCGACGGCUAAAUACGUG